GACGAACGCUGGCGGCGUGCUUAACACAUGCAAGUCGAACGGAAAGGCCCUGCUUUUGUGGGGUGCUCGAGUGGCGAACGGGUGAGUAACACGUGAGUAACCUGCCCUUGACUUUGGGAUAACUUCAGGAGACUGGGGCUAAUACCGGAUAGGAGCUCCUGCUGCAUGGUGGGGGUUGGAAAGUUUCGGCGGUUGGGGAUGGACUCGCGGCUUAUCAGCUUGUUGGUGGGGUAGUGGCUUACCAAGGCUUUGACGGGUAGCCGGCCUGAGAGGGUGACCGGCCACAUUGGGACUGAGAUACGGCCCAGACUCCUACGGGAGGCAGCAGUGGGGAAUAUUGCACAAUGGGCGGAAGCCUGAUGCAGCAACGCCGCGUGCGGGAUGACGGCCUUCGGGUUGGAAACCGCUUUCGCCUGUGACGAAGCGUGAGUGACGGUAAUGGGUAAAGAAGCACCGGCUAACUACGU
rnacentral:rRNA from 1 species